UACGGGGGGAGCAAGCGUUGUUCGGAUUUACUGGGCGUAAAGGGCGCGUAGGCGGCCACCGCAAGUCGGUUGUGAAAUCUCUGGGCUUAACCCAGAAAGGUCAACCGAUACUGCGGGGCUAGAGUGCAGAAGGGGCAACUGGAAUUCUCGGUGUAGCGGUGAAAUUCGUAGAUAUUAGGAAGAACACCGGUGGCGAAGGCGGCUUCCUGGCCUGUUCUUGACGCUGAGGCGCGAAAGCUAGGGGAGCAAACGGG
rnacentral:rRNA from 1 species